GCGCUUGUUUAGGCAGCACAUGUACUAAAAUUGGAACGAUACAGAGAAGAUUAGCAUGGCUUCUAUGCAAGGAUGACACACAAAUUCAUGAAGCAGUCCAUAUUUUU
rnacentral:snRNA from 1 species